rnacentral:lncRNA from 1 species
AGCGGUGAGGCACAGAUGAGUAACGUGAAUUUGUCCGUCUCCGACUUCUGGAGAGUGAUGAUGCGGGUGUGCUGGUUGGUGAGACAGGACAGCCGGCACCAGCGAAUCAGACUUCCACAUUUGGAAGCAGUUGUGAUUGGGCGUGGCCCAGAGACCAAGAUCACUGAUAAGAAAUGUUCUCGACAGCAAGUACAGUUGAAAGCAGAGUGUAACAAGGGAUAUGUCAAGGUAAAGCAGAGUUUGAGGAAGAGGCAAAGAACCCUGGCCUGGAAACACACAGGAAGAGAAAGAGAUCAGGCAACAGUGAUUCUAUAGAAAGGGAUGCUGCUCAGGAAGCUGAGGCUGGGACAGGGCUGGAACCUGGGAGCAACUCUGGCCAAUGCUCUGUGCCCCUAAAGAAGGGAAAAGAUGCACCUAUCAAAAAGGAAUCCCUGGGCCACUGGAGUCAAGGCUUGAAGAUUUCUAUGCAGGACCCCAAAAUGCAGGUUUACAAAGAUGAGCAGGUGGUGGUGAUAAAGGAUAAAUACCCAAAGGCCCGUUACCAUUGGCUGGUCUUACCGUGGACCUCCAUUUCCAGUCUGAAGGCUGUGGCCAGGGAACACCUUGAACUCCUUAAGCAUAUGCACACUGUGGGGGAAAAGGUGAUUGUAGAUUUUGCUGGGUCCAGCAAACUCCGCUUCCGAU